rnacentral:rRNA from 1 species
GACGAACGCUGGCGGCGUGCUUAACACAUGCAAGUCGAACGGAAAGGCCCUGCUCUUGUGGGUUGCUCGAGUGGCGAACGGGUGAGUAACACGUGAGUAACCUGCCCUUGACUUUGGGAUAACUUCAGGAAACUGGGGCUAAUACCGGAUAGGAGCUCCUGCUGCAUGUUGUGGGUUGGAAAGUUUCGGCGGUUGGGGAUGGACUCGCGGCUUAUCAGCUUGUUGGUGUGGUAGUGGCUUACCAAGGCUUUGACGGGUAGCCGGCCUGAGAGGGUGGACGGCCACAUUGGGACUGAGAUACGGACCAGAAGCCUACGGGAGGCAGCAGUGGGGAAUAUUGCACAAUGGGCGGAAGCCUGAUGCAGCAACGCCGCGUGCGGGAUGACGGCCUUCGGGUUGUAAACCGCUUUCGCCUGUGACGAAGCGUGAGUGACGGUAAUGGGUAAAGAAGCACCGGCUAACUACGUG